UGGAGUAAUGUCCAAUACAGGCAUCUGAUGUCUGAUGGUGAAGAUGGUGUACGGUGGUGUAUGAUGGUUGAAGUGUGUCAGAUGGUUGUCAGAUGGUGUAUGAUGGUGUAUGAUGGUCGAAGUGUGUCAGAUGGUUGUCAGAUGGUGUAUGAUGGUGUAUGAUGGUCGAAGUGUGUCAGAUGGUUGUCGGAUGGUGUAUGAUGGUGUAGGGUGGUUAUACAGGAAAGGGUUGUCAGAUGGUGAAGAUGGUACAGAUGGUGUAUGAUGGUCGAAGUAUGUCAGAUGGUUGUCAGAUGGUGUAUGAUGGUGUAUGAUGGUCGAAGUGUGUCAGAUGGUGUAUGAUGGUGUAUGAUGGUCGAAGUGUGUCAGAUGGUUGUCAGAUGGUGUAUGAUGGUGUAUGAUGGUCGAAGUGUGUCAGAUGGUUGUCAGAUGGUGUAUGAUGGUGUAUGAUGGUCGAAGUGCGUCAGAUGGUUGUCGGAUGGUGUAUGA